rnacentral:lncRNA from 10 species
UAAGGAGAUUGAAACCAAAUCUCAGAGAUCACAUCCAGAUCUCAGCUGGCAAAGAACAUUUAGAAACACACCCAACCCAACACUUCACAAGCAUAGCUUUAAAAAUUUUGAGAAUCACAUCCUCCAGAGCAGAUUUUCAAUGUGAAUUUUACUGUGGACCAGCAAUGUUUCUACAUCAGACCUCAAGAAUGAGGAAAAGAUGGAAGGAGAAAAACUGAGAAGAGUCACAACAUCUAUUUCUAAAAGGGAGUUGCAAAAGGAAGCACAACAAAAAAUAUGACUUUAAGACACAUGCACAUGUAUGUUUAUUGCCACAUUUAUUCGUAAUAGCAAAGACAUGGAAUCAACCUAAAUGCCCAUCGAUGGUAGACUGAAUAAAGAAAAUGUGGCACAUAUACACCUUGGAAUACGAUGCAGCCAAUUAAAAAAAAUGAGAUUAUGUCUUUUGCAGAUACAUGGAUGGAUUUGGUGGCCAUUAUCCUCAGCUAACACAGGAACAGAAAACCAAAUACUGCAUGUUCUACAAAUGGGAGAUAAAUGAUGAGAACACAUGGACACAUACAGGGGAACAACACGACUGGGACCUAUCAGAGGGUAGAAGAACAUCGCUCUGAGCUAGACAUAUAUUGUAUUCAUUUUAAAGAUGGAAAAAUUGAACUAUACGGGAAGAAGAGAGUUUAUUUGGAAGUUCCAUGGGAAGCAGUGGAAAUCCAGUAUGCUGAUGUCACCUGAAACAACAAACUUCUAUCUGUUCAUCUUGGCAAAAACAAAUCAACACCUGACUGACAGAGCAGAAGCACCAUCAUCUUGGAUAAACACCACCACUUUAAGUCCAGCUCCCUUUCUAACCUCAUGCAUUUUGAGGAAAUCACUUCCCUUCUAACAACAAGCAGCCAGAAAGAGCAGACAGUAUAAAACACUGAUAAGACAGCUCGGGCACAGAGGAAGUGGAGAAAGUCUCUUGGGUAACCACAAAACUUCACAGUCUACAAUGGACCCCAGUAAAACAGUGGGUCCUAAUAAAUACAUUCCUUUCCCUUUAGGUGCACCAAGAUAUGGAAGCUAAAAGCAGACUUGGGGGGCGGGGGGUAGGAGGGGCUGUGCCUGCAGCUGCAGGAAGAUGUAUGGAUAAAACACAAAAAUUCUCCCUCCCAGAUAAGCAAGACAAAGAGAUACAGAAGCAGUCCAAGCCUGUGAUAAGCUCUCCCACCCUGAACCCUUAAAAACUCUUAGUCUGUAAGAGAGAAGGCUCUCUGACCUAACUUGGCCAGAAGCCCCUCCCAGGUUUAUUCUCCUAAAUAAACCCAUCUUUGACUGUUGAGUGCUUUUUGGGUUUCUUUCCUCUUUCUUUAACUCUUAAACUGACCUACUUACCCCUCCUGCAAAAUAAGGUAAGAACAAUACACAAGUAAGUCAGGAAAUUAAUUUAAGCUCUUUCUGCAAGCACUGGACUAGCAUGCCACAAUGUCCAAACCCUAAACAUGGUCAGAAGCAUCAGCUGGUGUACCGCAAUAAAAGUAUCUGUGCACUUCUGGGGCCUGCAGCAAGCUUAAAAU